UGGGGAAUUUUGGACAAUGGGGGCAACCCUGAUCCAGCAAUGUCGCGUGAGUGAAGAAGGCCUUCGGGUUGUAAAGCUCUUUUGUCAGGGAAGAAACAGCAGCUCUAACACAGCUGUGAAUGACGGUACCUGAAGAAUAAGCACCGGCUAACUACGUGCCAGCAGCCGCGGUAAUACGUAGGGUGCAAGCGUUAAUCGGAAUUACUGGGCGUAAAGCGUGCGCAGGCGGUUAUACAAGACAGGCGUGAAAUCCCCGGGCUUAACCUGGGAAUUGCGUCUGUGACUGUAUGGCUAGAGUGUGUCAGAGGGGGGUAGAAUUCCACGUGUAGCAGUGAAAUGCGUAGAUAUGUGGAGGAAUACCAAUGGCGAAGGCAGCCCCCUGGGAUAACACUGACGCUCAUGCACGAAAGCGUGGGGAGCAAACAGGAUUAGAUACCCUGGUAGUCCACGCCCUAAACGAUGCUGACUAGUUGUUCGGGAUUUUAUCCUGAGUAACGUAGCUAACGCGUGAAGUCAGCCGCCUGGGGAGUACGGUCGCAAGAUUA
rnacentral:rRNA from 1 species